UUACGGCCAUAUCAUGUUGAAACACCGGUUCGCAUAUGAUUACCGAAGUUAAGCAAUGUCGAACCUGCUCAAUGCCUGGAUGGGUGACCGCUUGGGAAUACCUGUUGCUGCCAGC